AUGAAUCUUGUUGAUUUCACGAAGAGACAAUUGCAAUCGAUGAGAGAAUUGAAUAAAAUUCUUUGUUAGAAGACAUCUUCAUAUUUUGUGAAAAGAACGAUAUUGAGGAAUCCAAAACGCAAUGGUGGCGCAUCUGAUCGAAAUCAAAACCCAAUGGUGGUGCGGCUAACUAGAUCUAAUUCUAACGGUUGAGUGCUAAUUUGAUUUUUAAACAACGCUUGAAUUAUAUGAGAAAAUCAGAAAUACUUUGAAUAUACAAGCAUUCAAGAAUGUGAAUUUUUUUAAACUUGAUCGAAACUGAGGCAAUUAAACCUAGCUCUGAUGUCAUUGUAAGAAAAUUCAUAGCAAAAAAGAUAUGAAUAGUGUAUCUUGAAAACGCCGCAGAAAUCAUUGAAAUUGUUACUAAAAGAAAUUUGCCCCAGAUCUACUUCGUCCCUCUUGGAAACAGAGUGUUCUUCACAAAUUAAAUGUCUUUUGGUGUUUGAUUUUUGUUUUUUCUUUUUGUUGUACCUGAUCGUUUCUCUUCCUCUUUCUUAAAGUUAGGGGAAUUAAAGCGGUUGAACAGGAGAGGGUAACUGUCCCCCUCCCCCCUCCCUUAUCCAUUAAUCUCAUCUUCUUUCAGACUAAGAAACGGGUCGAAUCGGAUCGAAACGGUUCAGAUCAAUACACAUGAGAGAUUCAUGACCCGCAAAAUUUAACAUUAUUUUUUUUAAAAAAAAAAUGCAUAUAAAAAUGGUAGAUCUCUCAUAUUUGGUAACUAUCCGAAUCUACUUAAAGAAGC
rnacentral:lncRNA from 1 species